rnacentral:rRNA from 1 species
AAUACGGAAGUCAAGGAACUGUUAAGAAUAAAACUUUCAACAACGGAUCCGUUAGUUCUCGCAUCGAUGAAGAGCGCAGCGAAAUGCGAUACCUAGUGUGAAUUGCAGCCAUCGUGAAUCAUCGAGUUCUUGAACGCACAUUGCGCCCCUUGGUAUUCCGGGGGGCAUGCCUGUUU